rnacentral:rRNA from 1 species
GAUGAACGCUGGCGGCGUGCUUAACACACGCAAGUCGAACGGGAAACCUUUUAUUGAAGCUUCGGCAGAUUUAGCUGGUUUCUAGUGGCGGACGGGUGAGUAACGCGUGGGUAACCUGCCUUAUACAGGGGGAUAACAACCAGAAAUGGUUGCUAAUACCGCAUAAGCGCACAGGACCGCAUGGUCCGGUGUGAAAAACUCCGGUGGUAUAAGAUGGACCCGCGUUGGAUUAGCUAGUUGGCAGGGUAACGGCCUACCAAGGCGACGAUCCAUAGCCGGCCUGAGAGGGUGAACGGCCACAUUGGGACUGAGACACGGCCCAGACUCCUACGGGAGGCAGCAGUGGGGAAUAUUGCACAAUGGGGGAAACCCUGAUGCAGCGACGCCGCGUGAAGGAAGAAGUAUCUCGGUAUGUAAACUUCUAUCAGCAGGGAAGAUAGUGACGGUACCUGACUAAGAAGCCCCGGCUAACUACGUG